GAUUACUUGUUUUAUUUUAGAGGGAUGGAGGAGAUACACCAUUGCAGAUACGCGUCGGAAUUUAUUUGGCCCAUCUGAAAAAGAUAUGUGUGAAGUUGGAUUGUCGCAGCUUGUUGAAGACAACUCAAUAAUUGAAAAAUGUCGAAUGGAGCGCCAAGAAUCAAUGAUCGCGAGUCAAGAAAUAAUGUUCUUUGGGAUGGAUGGAUCACAACCAAUUGAUGGAUCACAACCCGUAGAUGGU